GACGAACGCUGGCGGCGUGCUUAACACAUGCAAGUCGAACGAUGAAGCUGGAGCUUGCUCCGGUGGAUUAGUGGCGAACGGGUGAGUAACACGUGAGCAAUCUGCCCUUGACUCUGGGAGAACUGCGGGAAACUGUAGCUAAUACCGGAUACGAGACCUGAAGGCAUCUUCGGGUCUGGAAAGAAGUUCGGUCAAGGAUGAGCUCGUGGCCUAUCAGCUUGUUGGUGAGGUAAUGGCUCACCAAGGCGACGACGGGUAGCCGGCCUGAGAGGGUGACCGGCCACACUGGGACUGAGACACGGCCCAGACUCCUACGGGAGGCAGCAGUGGGGAAUAUUGCACAAUGGGCGAAAGCCUGAUGCAGCAACGCCGCGUGAGGGAUGAAGGCCUUCGGGUUGUAAACCUCUUUUAGCAGGGAAGAAGCGAAAGUGACGGUACCUGCAGAAAAAGCACCGGCUAACUACGUGCCAGCCGCCGCGGUAAAAC
rnacentral:rRNA from 1 species